rnacentral:rRNA from 1 species
AGACGUAGGACACAAGCGUUAUCCGGAUUUACUGGGCGUAAAGCGUCUGCAGGCGGACAGGUAAGUUGGGCGUGAAAGCUCCGGGCCCAACCCGGAGAGGUCGUUCAAUACUGCGUGUCUAGAGGGUGUCAGAGGGGAGUGGAAUUUCCGGAGUAGCGGUAAAAUGCGCAGAGAUCGGAAAGAACACCAAUGGCGAAGGCAGCUCCCUGGGGCAACCCUGACGCUAAGAAACGAAAGCUAGGGGAGCGAACAGGAUUAGAGACCCUGGUAGUCCUAGCCCUAAACGAUGGAUGCUGGAUGUGGGGCCAUAGCGCUCCGUGUCGAAGCGAACGCGUUAAGCAUCCCGCCUGGGGACUACGGCCGCAAGGUUAAAACUCAAACGAAUUGACGGGACCCCGCACAAGCAGCGGAGCGUGUGGUUUAAUUCGAUGCUACACGAAGAACCUUACCUGGGUUUGACAUCUAGGUGGUAGUGAAGCGAAAGCGGAGCGACCCUUCGGGGAGCCUAGACAGGUGCUGCAUGGCUGUCGUCAGCUCGUGCCGUGAGGUGUCGGGUUAAGUCCCGUAACGAGCGCAACCCUUGCCCUCCGUUAUACGUGUCAGAGGGGACUGCCGGCGGUAAGCCGGAGGAAGGUGGGGAUGACGUCAAGUCAGCAUGGCCUUUAUAUCCAGGGCUACACACACGCUACAACGGCCAGUACAAAGGGCAGCGAAGCCGCGAGGUGGAGCGAAUCCCAGCAAAGCUGGUCGUAGUUCGGAUUGCAGGCUGCAACCCGCCUGCAUGAAGCUGGAGUUGCUAGUAACCGCGCGUCAGCCAUAGUGCGGUGAAUACGUUCCCGGGGUUUGUACACACCGCCCGUCACGUCAUGGGAGUCGAUAACGCCUGAAGCCGGUGGCCUAGCUCGGAAGAGAGGGCGCUGUCUAAGGCGGGGUCGGUGACUGGGACGAAGUCGUAA